GUCGAUAUGUCCGAGUGAUUAAGGAGACGGACUCGAUAUCUGUUGGGCUUUUCCUGCGCUGGUUCAAAUCCUUCUGUCGGCG
rfam:Populus trichocarpa scaffold_9_contig_105, whole genome shotgun sequence.